UACAGAGGGUGCAAGCGUUAAUCGGAAUUACUGGGCGUAAAGCGCGCGUAGGUGGUUUGUUAAGUUGGAUGUGAAAUCCCCGGGCUCAACCUGGGAACUGCAUUCAAAACUGACAAGCUAGAGUAUGGUAGAGGGUGGUGGAAUUUCCUGUGUAGCGGUGAAAUGCGUAGAUAUAGGAAGGAACACCAGUGGCGAAGGCGACCACCUGGACUGAUACUGACACUGAGGUGCGAAAGCGUGGGGAGCAAACAGA
rnacentral:rRNA from 1 species